rnacentral:lncRNA from 1 species
CGGUGAGGUCGACGAGGAGGGCGAGGAUGGCGCCGAUCAUGGUGACGAGGCCGGAGAAAGGGAAGUCCUUCCAGGGGUGGUGGGAGGCGACGUGGCAGUCGGAGAGGGCGGCGAAGGCGUCAGGGAGGACGUGGACGAGGGAGGUGGAGAGAAUCACGCCGGCGGCGAAGCACUUGAUGAUGAGAAUCGCCUUGUCGUACAUGGGUUUGCCUUGGAAAACCCGGGCAAGCAUCACCGGGGAGGAGAUGCCCACCACACUGGUGAUGAAGAUUACGAAGAUUGAUACCAGCUUCAGGUGCGCCGCUGCUCUUCCGUCCCGGCAGGCCAGUGCCCGAGCCGUAUCGCCUACGCACGAGGCCAUUGGCUCCAAAAAUUCAAUACUCUGAGAGAGACAGAGAGAG